GAAUUUCUAUAGAGCAAGCGCUAGAACAGAAGUUUUCACCAAAAACAAAGGAAGUAAGUAGAGACAAAAGCAAUACAACAAGACCGAGGAAAAAAAAAACCAGGAUGUUGAUUUGGGGACUCUUGACAGUGGAAGGAGGUGCCAGCCAACUACUGAGAGGAAUGGAUCAGGCUUUUAAGAAAUUACUUCUGUGAUGAAGAGAGGAAAAGAUCCCAGAUUCUUUACCCAAGGAAUUUCCACCACCUUGUGUGAACAGAGAGCGAACAGAGAACAUGUAGGAGCAGGUGGCCAGCAGCCCUGGGACGGGGUGGGGGACAGAAACUCAGCACCUG